rnacentral:rRNA from 1 species
GAUGAACGCUGGCGGCGUGCUUAACACAUGCAAGUCGAACGAUGAAAGCGGGAGCUUGCUCCUGCUGGAUUAGUGGCGAACGGGUGAGUAACACGUGAGCAAUCUGCCCCGAACUCUGGGAUAAGCGUUGGAAACGACGUCUAAUACCGGAUACGACGCGCGAAGGCAUCUUCUGCGCGUGGAAAGAACUUCGGUUCGGAAUGAGCUCGCGGCCUAUCAGCUAGUUGGUGAGGUAACGGCCCACCAAGGCGACGACGGGUAGCCGGCCUGAGAGGGGGACCGGCAACACUGGGACUGAGACACGGCCCAGACUCCUACGGGAGGCAGCAGUGGGGAAUAUUGCACAAUGGGCGCAAGCCUGAUGCAGCAACGCCGCGUGAGGGACGACGGCCUUCGGGUUGUAAACCUCUUUUAGUAGGGAAGAAGCGAAAGUGACGGUACCUGCAGAAAAAGCACCGGCUAACUACGUGCCAGCAGCCGCCGUAAAAC